rnacentral:rRNA from 1 species
GUCUACAGCCAUACCACCCUGAAUUUUUCCAUCCUAUCCAGGCUCAGAAGCUCAGCAGGGUUGGUUCUGGUUAGUGCUUGGAUGGGAGAAAAGGAAGAUUAGCUGGCAGCUUAUC